GGGAGCCUGCAUGUCUAGUAUAAGCAACUAUACGGUGAAACUGCGAAUGGCUCAUUAAAUCAGUUAUCGUUUAUUUGAUAGUACCUUACUACAUGGAUAACCGUGGUAAUUCUAGAGCUAAUACAUGCUAAAAACCCCGACUCACGAAGGGGUGUAUUUAUUAGAUAAAAAACCAAUGCCCUUUGGGCUUCAUGGUGAAUCAUAAUAACUUAACGAAUCGCAUGGCCUUGCGCCGGCGAUGGUUCAUUCAAAUUUCUGCCCUAUCAACUUUCGAUGGUAGGAUAGUGGCCUACCAUGGUAUCAACGGGUAACGGGGAAUUAGGGUUCUAUUCCGGAGAGGGAGCCUGAGAAACGGCUACCACAUCCAAGGAAGGCAGCAGGCGCGCAAAUUACCCAAUCCCGACACGGGGAGGUAGUGACAAUAAAUACUGAUACAGGGCUCUUUUGGGUCUUGUAAUUGGAAUGAGUACAAUUUAAAUACCUUAACGAGGAACAAUUGGAGGGCAAGUCUGGUGCCAGCAGCCGCGGUAAUUCCAGCUCCAAUAGCGUAUAUUAAAGUUGUUGCAGUUAAAAAGCUCGUAGUUGAACCUUGGGCCUGGCUGGCCGGUCCGCCUCACCGCGUGUACUGGUCCGGCCGGGCCUUUCCUUCUGGGGAACCGCAUGCCCUUCACUGGGCGUGUGUGGGAACCAGGACUUUUACUUUGAAAAAAUUAGAGUGUUCAAAGCAGGCCUUUGCUCGAAUACAUUAGCAUGGAAUAAUAGAAUAGGACGUGUGGUUCUAUUUUGUUGGUUUCUAGGACCGCCGUAAUGAUUAAUAGGGAUAGUCGGGGGCAUCCGUAUUCAAUUGUCAGAGGUGAAAUUCUUGGAUUUAUUGAAGACGAACUACUGCGAAAGCAUUUGCCAAGGAUGUUUUCAUUAAUCAGUGAACGAAAGUUAGGGGAUCGAAGACGAUCAGAUACCGUCGUAGUCUUAACCAUAAACUAUGCCGACUAGGGAUCGGGGGGUGUAUCAUUUUGACCUCCUCGGCACCUUACGAGAAUCAAAGUCUUUGGGUUCUGGGGGGAGUAUGGUCGCAAGGCUGAAACUUAGAGAUA
rnacentral:rRNA from 1 species